rnacentral:lncRNA from 1 species
UUUCUAUGUUGUGCUUUGUGUUCUACUAUUUGUCUGUUUGUCUUUUUCUUUUUUAGCCAUUGCGUUGACAGUAUAUUUUCGAUCUAUAAAUUUGACUGUCCCUCUGGGAUCUUUCGCCCCUCUUUUAUAUGGAAGAUAGCAUUAUAAACGUUUACAAUUCUUACAUUUCUUUGAUGGAUUUGUCCAUCAGUUUUAAAAAACCCAUUGUAACUUUUUA